GGUCCUAUAGCUCAGUUGGUUAGAGCGUGGUGCUAAUAUUGCCGAAAAGGCGGUGUAACGCCAAGGUCGCGAGUUCGACCCUCGUUGGGACCA